CAACCCCCGGACUGCUUUGGAAACUGUUUGACUGGAGUGCAGGAGAGGUAAGUGGAAUUCCUAGUGUAGCGGUGAAAUGCGUAGAUAUUAGGAGGAACACCAGUGGCGAAGGCGGCUUACUGGACUGUAACUGACGUUGAGGCUCGAAAGCGUGGGGGGCAAACAGGAUUAGAUACCCUGGUAGUCCACGCGGUAAACGAUGAUCACUAGGUGUCGGUGAGUAUAGACUCAUCGGUGCCGUCGCAAACGCAGUAAGUGAUCCACCUGGGGAGUACGUUCGCAAGAAUGAAACUCAAAGGAAUUGACGGGGACCCGCACAAGCGGUGGAGCAUGUGGUUUAAUUCGAUGCAACGCGAAGAACCUUACCUGGUCUUGACAUCCCGAUGGAUACAGGGUAAUGCCUGUAGGACUUCGGUACAUUGGGGACAGGUGGUGCAUGGUUGUCGUCAGCUCGUGUCGUGAGAUGUUGGGUUAAGUCCCGCAACGAGCGCAACCCCUAUUUUUAGUAGCCAGCAGGUAAAGCUGGGCACUCUAGAGAGACUGCCGGGGAUAACCCGGAGGAAGGUGGGGAUGACGUCAAAUCAUCAUGCCCCUUAUGACCAGGGCUACACACGUGCUACAAUGGCGUAAACAAAGGGAAGCGAGGGAGUGAUCCGGAGCAAAUCCCAGAAAUAACGUCUCAGUUCGGAUUGUAGUCUGCAACUCGACUACAUGAAGCUGGAAUCGCUAGUAAUCGCGAAUCAGAAUGUCGCGGUGAAUACGUUCCCGGGUCUUGUACACACCGCCCGUCACACCAUGGGAGUCGGAAAUGCCCGAAGUCAGUGACCGAACCGAAAGGGAGGAGCUGCCGAAGGCAGGUCGGAUAACUGGGGUGAAGUCGUAACAAGGUAACCGUAA
rnacentral:rRNA from 1 species